UACGUAGGGCGCAAGCGUUGUCCGGAAUUAUUGGGCGUAAAGAGCUCGUAGGCGGUUUGUCGCGUCUGCUGUGAAAUCCCGAGGCUCAACCUCGGGCUUGCAGUGGGUACGGGCAGACUAGAGUGCGGUAGGGGAGACUGGAAUUCCUGGUGUAGCGGUGAAAUGCGCAGAUAUCAGGAGGAACACCGGUGGCGAAGGCGGGUCUCUGGGCCGUAACUGACGCUGAGGAGCGAAAGCGUGGGGAGCGAACAGG
rnacentral:rRNA from 1 species